rnacentral:rRNA from 1 species
UACGUAGGGCGCAAGCGUUAAUCGGAAUUACUGGGCGUAAAGCGUGCGCAGGCGGUUAUGCAAGACAGAUGUGAAAUCCCCGGGCUCAACCUGGGAACUGCAUUUGUGACUGCAUGGCUAGAGUACGGUAGAGGGGGAUGGAAUUCCGCGUGUAGCAGUGAAAUGCGUAAAUAUGCGGAGGAACACCGAUGGCGAAGGCAAUCCCCUGGACCUGUACUGACGCUCAUGCACGAAAGCGUGGGGAGCAAACAGG